rnacentral:rRNA from 1 species
UACUUGACGUAGACCCGAAACCGGGCGACCUACCCAUGAGCAGGAUGAAGCGAAAGUAAAAUUUCGUGGAGGUCCGAACCCACGAGCGUUGAAAAGCUCGGGGAUGACUUGUGGGUAGCGGUGAAAUUCCAAUCGAGCCCGGAGAUAGCUGGUUCUCCCCGAAAUAGCUUUAGGGCUAGCCUCAAGGUGAGAGAUACGGAGGUAGAGCACUGAAUGUCCUAGGGGGUAUUGCACCUACCGAAGACUAUCAAACUCCGAAUGCCGUCAUCUUAUACUUGGGAGUCAGACUGUGGGUGAUAAGAUUCAUAGUCGAAAGGGCAACAGCCCAGAUCGUCAGCUAAGGUCCCUAAAUGUAAGUUAAGUGGUAAAGGAUGUGGGAUUGCACAGACAACCAGGAUGUUGGCUUAGAAGCAGCCACUCAUUCAAAGAGUGCGUAAUAGCUCACUGGUCGAGUGAUCCUGCGCCGAAGAUUUCCGGGGCUAAAACUU